CAGCCGCCACGGUAAAACGGAGGGGGCUAGCGUUGUUCGGAAUUACUGGGCGUAAAGCGCACGUAGGCGGCUUGGUAAAUUAGAGGUGAAAGCCCGGAGCUCAACUCCGGAAUUGCCUUUAAGACUGCCGAGCUAGUAGGUGAGAGAGGUAAGUGGAAUUCCGAGUGUAGAGGUGAAAUUCGUAGAUAUUCGGAAGAACACCAGUGGCGAAGGCGGCUUACUGGCUCAUUCUAGACGCUGAGGUGCGAAAGCGUGGGGAGCAAACAGGAUUAGAUACCCCAGUAGUCCCUGUCUCUUAUAC
rnacentral:rRNA from 1 species